rnacentral:rRNA from 1 species
UGGGGAAUUUUGGACAAUGGGGGAAACCCUGAUCCAGCCAUCCCGCGUGUGCGAUGAAGGCCUUCGGGUUGUAAAGCACUUUUGGCAGGAAAGAAACGUCGCGGGUUAAUACCCCGCGAAACUGACGGUACCUGCAGAAUAAGCACCGGCUAACUACGUGCCAGCAGCCGCGGUAAUACGUAGGGUGCAAGCGUUAAUCGGAAUUACUGGGCGUAAAGCGUGCGCAGGCGGUUCGGAAAGAAAGAUGUGAAAUCCCAGAGCUUAACUUUGGAACUGCAUUUUUAACUACCGGGCUAGAGUGUGUCAGAGGGAGGUGGAAUUCCGCGUGUAGCAGUGAAAUGCGUAGAUAUGCGGAGGAACACCGAUGGCGAAGGCAGCCUCCUGGGAUAACGACUGACGCUCAUGCACGAAAGCGUGGGGAGCAAACAGGAUUAGAUACCCUGGUAGUCCACGCCCU